CCCAAGUAGGAUUCGAACCUACG
rnacentral:snRNA from 1 species